UUUUUUCCAAUGAAACAUUUUUAAUGUAUUUUUUUAUAUAUCCAAAUGCAUACCCAGAAAUGUAUUUUCCACAGUCAGCGUGUCAUGAGAGCUUAAUUUUUGUCUGUUAAAAAUAAUUAUGGGAUUUGACUUUUUCUAUGCUUUUAUUUCUACAUCAGUGUAAACGAUUUCUUUUAUUACUCUUUACUACUCAGAUGUGUCGAAGAAAUUCAAAGAAAAACAAAACUUUGCCAUUGAAAACAAAAUUCCUACACUGUCAGGCAACUCUUUUUUUAAACGUUGAGUGAAUCGUUUCUUUGGAAAUUAUUUGAAUAAGAAGAUGCAUAAAAACAAAACCUCCAUCCUUGGAGAUACUCAAAACUCACCUGAACAAGGUGCUGAGGAGCUUUAAUUAAUGCAGAAGCUGGCCCAGCUCCGAGCAGGGGAUUGGACCAUAUGCACUCCAGAGGUUCCUUCCAAAAUGUAUUAUUACACUUUUAUCACAAACCGUUAUGAUGCAGAUUUGUCAUGUACACACACUGAAAUUGCCAGCCCGUGGGGUGCUGGAGAGUGGCAGCACUACUGUGCGUGGACACCCAGUGCUGAGCUGGCUCCUGCUCUCUGUAGGAACGCACAGCCACUGCCACACCUCACAUGCUGUGCUGAGCACAGCCAGGAGGAAUGCAAAUCUUAUUUGUUCUAGAACUCGUGAGCCUGCAAAGGUGGUUGAAAUACCUACCCAGACUGAGAGUGGCUGUCGGUAGUGGAGAGGUUUCUUAGCAGUUUGUUAGAAGCUUGAAAGACGAAAAUGGCAAUCGCAUUUACUGACUGAAAUCACUUUUCUCCUUGAUUUGCAUUUACGCUAUUCCAAGGAGUCGUUUUAUUCCAGCCUCCACCCAGUCCCCUUUAUGCAGGCACUGCAGAGAGCAUGUCAUUCAGCUCCUUGGGCAGAAGCCUGCAGGCCUUUGCGGUUGCCAAAGACACAAUGACACAAGGACACAAAGACACAAGGGAGGAGAGACUGCCCCUGUCUCAGGGGCAGAACCGCUCCUCUAGGACUGCCAUGUGCAAAACCCACAGAUAUUCUGAACCUGCCCCUGUCACCUCUGUCCCAUCACUUAACAUUUGGUGAUAGAUACUUGUUUGUUCCUGCCAUAUCCCAACACGCUUUAACCUCAUCUCCUUAACACAACAAACCUUGUUAAACUUAUAAAAUGUGUUUAACAGAGAACAAAGAUUUCCUCCUACUUUCUUUAUUAAGCCUAAUUUACACACUACUCCAUCCUUACUGUGCAAGUUGAUAAUAUUUAAAGGGCACUGAGAUAUGUUAAUAACACGUACUGUACUUGGUGAUGUAUUAUGAAAUGUAUCCCAUUAGUCACUUUAUAUCUGAAAGGCAGAAAAAUUUCCACCUAGCAACAGAAAGGCAUUUAGUAUUAAAAAAAAAAAAAUACUUGGCAGGCAUGUUAAACUACACCAGAAGGAAUCCAGUCAGAGGUAUCUAGAGACAACAGGAGCAUAGAUAAAUUGCUGUCAGUGUUUCCCAUUACAGGACUGGAGGAUAACACAAAGCUCCAUAACCUGGAGGAGCAAAAGAGAGGUACAGGGACGCCUGUUGGCAGCCUGGGGGCUGCUGGGAGGAGGCACUGCCCUCAGAGCUGGGGAGAACAGUGUGCCAGCAGCCAUUUGUCAUGAUAGGAAGAAUGGGUUCUGUUCUCAGCUAGGAUUCACCAUCCUCUUUCUCUGAAGGGAGAAGAUGUUUGCUUUGUUUUAGUAGUGGUAGUGGUAGAUUUGUUUCCAACCCUGGGGAAUGGCUCCGUGCUGCCUAAAGCGGCUGUCUAGGAUGUCUUCAUUCGCUCUUCUUAUUUCGACCUACUGAAGGCACUGCUGAUACCCUUCUCCCCAGGGAAAUGCUCUUCCUACCCUUUGUGUUGAACAGAAGUCCCUUUAUUCUAGCUUGGGAACAAGUCAUAAGCCAUGGUUUGAAGAUAGCUGAAAUUGUCAUGCCCUUCCCUUCUGUUCAGCCGAGCCUUCGUGCUUCCCACCCUGAAUCAGGCAGGGCAAACAUAGCCAGAAAAACAAGUGCUGAAAUCUGCUGCCAGAGCUGGGCCUCAACACACAGUCAGUGCCCAAAGCUGGAACUCAGUCACGGGGGAGUUGAUAGUAACGCGCAGCAAAGAGCUGAGUGCUGUCCUGCUGUUGCUGAAAGCAUGAAAAAUACCACCUUAAUUUAGAGACUUACUAAGGCACAUUAUGGCAGGGCAUGCCAAUAAAUGCGGAGCAAAGUAGAAGUGCUCUGCUAUAGUAUGCACUCUUACUGCAAUAAUAAAAAAAAUUACCUUCUGGUAAAAGAGUUUCAAAAGAAAAGAGGAUGUUCUGCUGUUUAUUCAACAGUCAAAACAACAAAAAGGCAAUGACAUCCACAAAAUGACCUUUCUUAAUAGUGAGUAAAAAUAAACUAAAAUGAACCAAGGCUCAGGAAGUCACUGUUCCACCACUUAAAAACUGUUAAUCAUCUCUAUGGCCUACAAGAUAACCUACAUAAGUGCUUUAUUUCUUUUUCAAAUCUUCUCUUCCUUGUACUUAACAUGUCCAUAUUAUUGAAUUUUGUACUUAAAAGCAAUAAAGCCAGCAGCCAGAGAAACACGGGCACCUUAAAACAGUGCUCAAUGACUUUCAUUUUCCCUGGAUAUGAAACAAAACUGAAAACCCAUAAGACAUCACCAUGAGCUCCAAGAGUGCACGAAAUGUAGUGGUGUGCAUGCGGGGCCCAACUAGCAGCUGGUGCUAGUUGCUGCCAUCUGACAUGUCCU
ensembl:lncRNA